AUGAACGCUGGCGGCGUGCCUAAUACAUGCAAGUCGAGCGAACGGAUGAGAAGCUUGCUUCUCUGAUGUUAGCGGCGGACGGGUGAGUAACACGUGGAUAACCUACCUAUAAGACUGGGAUAACUUCGGGAAACCGGAGCUAAUACCGGAUAAUAUUUUGAACCGCAUGGUUCAAAAGUGAAAGACGGUCUUGCUGUCACUUAUAGAUGGAUCCGCGCUGCAUUAGCUAGUUGGUAAGGUAACGGCUUACCAAGGCAACGAUGCAUAGCCGACCUGAGAGGGUGAUCGGCCACACUGGAACUGAGACACGGUCCAGACUCCUAAGGGAGGCAGCAGUAGGGAAUCUUCCGCAAUGGGCGAAAGCCUGACGGAGCAACGCCGCGUGAGUGAUGAAGGUCUUCGGAUCGUAAAACUCUGUUAUUAGGGAAGAACAUAUGUGUAAGUAACUGUGCACAUCUUGACGGUACCUAAUCAGAAAGCCACGGCUAACUACGUG
rnacentral:rRNA from 1 species